rnacentral:misc_RNA from 1 species
AAAAAAGAUUGUGGACAAUGUGAAAAUAAUAAGUAAGAAUUUGUACCUUAUGUAUGCUUUGAAACUCUUUUCCCUCAAAAUCUCACCUAUGUUGAGUUUCCUUCGAUUUUCUUUUCUCUUUUCUUCUCAAUUGAAAAUAUAAGGGGGAAGUCAUUUUAAAUUCUUCUUGCCAAACAGAGCAAUUUAAGUUCUAAGCCUCUAAUAUCAUAUUUCCAGUUGACAACUGAGAUUACUUACCAAAUCGUCUACAUGGGCAUUAAAGAAGCACAUCUAAGUGGUAUUCCAGAAAAACUGCGUCAGGCUUCAGCCAGUUUCAUUUCAUAUUCCUGAAAAGAGAGCUAAACAUGUUGACCAAAUGUUAGAAGCCAGUCAUAUGUUCCUAGAUUAAUAAUUGGUUACAGCUCUAGGAAAAAACAACAGAUUCAUGUUUAUUAAAAUUUGUCAGCACAUGCUGCCACUCAAACCGACCUAACAUUUUCAUUAAUAUCUUCAUUUUUCAUAUAUAACCAAAUAAGUAGCAUGCUGAAAUUAAUCAUAACGAGAAUAAGUAUUUCACUUCAGUGAUAAAUUAUAUAAAAGUGAACAAUCAACAUGGUUGCUAAACUAAUUCCCUAAAAUUCUAUAAGGCAUAAAUACAUGUUGUAGGCAUUAAAUUAAGCAUGCGUCAGCCACAUAUGGUAGUAGAUAACAAACAUCAAGUAGGAGUGCUUCUGAGUAGUCCAACACAAGCCAAAUGGUUAAGAAUGAAAUUAGGAAGACACAAAUGCAAUAAUGAUCUUUCUUUCAUCUACAAUUCUUGUUUAAUUGUAGUCAUGGGGAAAUCUUGUCUCUUCACAUGAUAAGAAUCAUCUGUUUGAUUUUCCCCCUUUUCUGGAUUUGGCGUGGCUUUGUGGACAUUUUGGGGAUAUGGGGGCACGGGGCCGGGGGGUCUCUCAAAUGUCACAUACUUUAGGAGAAGAGGGAAGAAUAAGGGAGUUAAUUAAGGGUGUGGGGUAGAGUGAAUUUUGGAGGGAAAGUUGUUGAUAGUUGGUUAGGGAAUCAGUUACCUAACUGAUUGGGUAAGCAGCAGUUAUGCUACUUUGUUAAAUAGGAGAGAACUUACCUGUAUUCUCUAUUCUUUUGAU